GAUGAACGCUGGCGGCGUGCCUAAUACAUGCAAGUCGAGCGAACAGAUGAGGAGCUUGCUCCUCUGACGUUAGCGGCGGACGGGUGAGUAACACGUGGAUAACCUACCUAUAAGACUGGGAUAACUUCGGGAAACCGGAGCUAAUACCGGAUAAUAUAUUGAACCGCAUGGUUCAAUAGUGAAAGACGGUUUUGCUGUCACUUAUAGAUGGAUCCGCGCCGCAUUAGCUAGUUGGUAAGGUAACGGCUUACCAAGGCAACGAUGCGUAGCCGACCUGAGAGGGUGAUCGGCCACACUGGAACUGAGACACGGUCCAGACUCCUACGGGAGGCAGCAGUAGGGAAUCUUCCGCAAAGGGCGAAAGCCUGACGGAGCAACGCCGCGUGAGUGAUGAAGGUCUUCGGAUCGUAAAACUCUGUUAUUAGGGAAGAACAAAUGUGUAAGUAACUAUGCACGUCUUGACGGUACCUAAUCAGAAAGCCACGGCCAACUACGUG
rnacentral:rRNA from 1 species